GGUGAUAUAGCUCAGGGGUAGAGAGUUUGCCUAGUAUGCACAAGGCCCUGGGCUUGAUCCCCAGCACCACUA
rnacentral:tRNA from 2 species